UACAGAGGGUGCGAGCGUUAAUCGGAAUUACUGGGCGUAAAGCGCGCGUAGGCGGCUUUGCAAGUCGGGUGUGAAAUCCCCAGGCUUAACCUGGGAACUGCAUUCGAGACUGCAUUGCUAGAGUAUGGGAGAGGGAAGUGGAAUUUCCGGUGUAGCGGUGAAAUGCGUAGAUAUCGGAAGGAACAUCAGUGGCGAAAGCGGCUUCCUGGACCAGCACCGACGUCAGGCACGAAAGCGUGGGGAGCAAACAGG
rnacentral:rRNA from 1 species